ACUGGGAUAUUAAACAAGUUAAACAUGAUAGACUCCUAAAAUUUGAACCCAAUUUAAAUAUUAAACAAAUAAAGCAGAUCGAUUUGUUUACAACCUGAACCUAUUUAGUCUAAAUCUAAAUCUACUUAUGAUGGAUCGAAUAUGGGUCGUGUUGGCAGGUUGGAUAAUAUUUUGGCACCCCUAAAUAUAGGUCGAUUAUAGGCAUAAGCCUACUUGGGAGACUAAUUAUUAGUUUAAAGGCUGAUCAUAUUCCAUGAUAUUCACCUAGCUAAGAUGUGGACCUAAU
rnacentral:lncRNA from 1 species